UUGGAUCUACAGGAGGUCACACGAAGGGGUGCACCAGAGAAGGGGAAAACCCCCUGAGCCAAUCGGCUCAGAGGUGCCCAGGACAAUCGGCCUGGGUCUUCCCUGCCCCCGUUCAUCCUCAUCUUCGGUUCAGCUGAUCUACAGGGUGUCGUUUACCCCAAAUUCUAUCAACAUGUGUAAGAUCAUGGGGUAAAGUCUUUGUUUAUCCUCGGGGUUGUAUGGAGAUCUUGAUUUGUAAUCAUUGAACCUCAUGUUUAAGAUCUAUUUGGUAUAAUUCAUAUCUUGAUGAUACUCUUUCAUGUAAUGGCUGGCCAGCCCUACUUUGGGUUGUUUGAUUGCUUACCUAGAAUGAUCAUCAUGCUGUGUUCUUAUGUUUCAAUAGUUGAGUACCCUUGUGUAGUGGCAGUAUGCGAGAGGAAAAGUGUUGGGUAUGGUUCACAUCCACUCACAAUAGCACUUAGAUCUAGUACUUUCAUUCUAUAGUGAUUGCAUCUACAAGUGAUCCUAGAUCCCUAGGACAAGUGUUUUAUCUAUCUUGUUCACACCCUCUACUCUCUAUUUAUUUUAAUCUAGAUUGCUUAGUUCUUUUGUUAAGAUCAAUCUCAUCAUAUACAAAGAACUUUCGGUUACUUAGAUUAGUGCUUUGUUAAGCAUGCAAAUCCCUUAUUCUGUGGAUUGAUAAACCUUGGGGGAGUCUCUAAGGGAAAGACUACAACCGAUCCGUGCGCUUGCAGUUCACAAUUUGGCAUGCUGACAGCCAUCAACAGUUAACCAUUAUGCAUAGAUUAUAAAAACAUCAUCCAUUGUGUAUUUUUAAUUGCUUUGCAUGGGUGGUAUACCAUAUGUUUAUAAAAGGUUAUACAUAUGGGCCAAUUAGUUUAUUAUACUUUCUAGCCAUUACACGCAUAGUAACAUGACUUGUACUCUUUAUAAAGCUAUUUGUUUGUUUGUAAUAACAUGACUUGUACUCAGAUUCCAUAGGUUCUCACCACAUCGGUGCCUACAACUCUAAGAAAUUGGACUAGCAUGCAUUCCAUUCUUAAACCGUCCUUUUGUUCCUUAUACCGCCUUUGUACAGUUGACACUUGCAAAUUCUAAGAACAUGUAUAAGCAUUUAAUGUUUGUCAUGUAUAUAUAGUUUUAGUCCACACCCCACAUUCUGUGUGUGACUAGUUUCAACAUCUACAUAAGGUUAAUGCCCCAAAAUUAAGC
rnacentral:lncRNA from 1 species